UGGUCGAGCAGACUUGCGCCGAUAAUGAACGGGAGUAAGUAAUACACCGAAGACAUGGGUUUAUGCCUAGCAUAAGCGGUAGCAGAGCGCUGUACAGUAGAUACAAGCCUAACGGAAACGAUAGGUCUCGGACUGUACAGGUGAUUAUGCCGGAAUGAGUAACGAUAAAACAAGUGAGAAUCUUGUUCGCCGAAAGCGUAAGGUUUCCUGGGGAAGGUAAAUCCGCCCAGGGUUAGGCGAAACCUUAGUAGAGGCCGAAAGGCGUAUACGAUGGAUAGCAGGUUAAUAUUCCUGCCCCGAUUUGUGGAGCGAUGGAGGGACGGCCACCAGAAUGCACGCGGACGAUUAGAAAUGUCCGUGGAGGUCACUAAGUUGGAGGGAUUGGAAAAUCCGCCCUCAUAAUACAAGGUGAUCGACCAACUGCCUUGAGCGGGAUUGUGUUGGAAGGUGGUCCAAGAAAAUCUUCUAAGUGUUGAAGCAAAUCGUUCGUACUAAAACUGACACAGGUACGCGGGUCGAGUAGACUAAGGCGCUCGGGAGAACGGUGGUUAAGGAACUCUGCAAAAUGGCCCCGUAAGUUCGCGAUAAGGGGUGCCCCUGGCGGUUUACGCUGCUGGGGGCCACAGUAAAUCGGCUCCUUCGACUGUUUAUCAAAAACACAGGUCUCUGCGAACACGUAAGUGGAUGUAUAGAGACUGACGCCUGCCCGGUGUUGGUAGGUUAAGGAAGACGGUUAGCCUUCGGGUGAAGCUGGCGACCGAAGCCCCAAUAAACGGCGGCCGUAACUAUGACGGUCCUAAGGUAGAAUUUUCUGCCCUCUGGUCUGGUGACAGAUCAGGUUGCACUUUGCUAUAUGCUGGAAAAUCUGAGUAUCCGACAGUACUCGCAAGCGAUUAAUUGAUUAAUUAAUGGAUCGCUCGCAGUGAAAAUCUGUUCGGUGCAGACAAUCAGCAGGAAACCAUUUUAACCUAUUUGUAAUCUGAAAUUUCAGAUCCCAAAUUUGUGAUUGAUGGGCUCCUCAGAGACUAAACGCAAAGCAUCUCUUUGUCCUUUUAUGAUUUCAUAUUCGAAAUCGUAAAUUUCCGAUCGAAGUUUAACUUUCUUCGAUUGACAAACGAGAUGAAGAUAUAGUCCGAGCUGCAUGGCGACAUGCAGAGGGCAACAGAAAUGUUGUUCCGCCGAUAGUGAGCAUAAAUCUCUUGCUCACACUGUUGUUUGGAUUUCAAAUUGGAAAUUUCUUAUUUGAAAUACAUCUAAACAACAUGCAUGUUUCUUAGCUUAUUCAUUGGGUCUAGUUCUUAAAAACUAGACCAGCGCUUGAUGACUUCGGUUAUCAAGCAAAGGUUUGGAUCUUGGCUAGAUCCGGUUAGUAGUGCUAAAACUUUUCAUGACCAUGACGUGUUCGCACGUCACAUGAUCUUUGCAAAUCGGUAGUAACAUACUGAGCGAAGUUCCUUGUCGGGUAAGUUCCGACCUGCAUGAAAGGCGUAACGAGAGGAGCACUGUCUCAACCACCGACCCGGUGAAAUUGUAGUCGUGGUGAAGAUGCCACGUACCCGCGGUUAGACGGAAAGACCCCGUGAACCUUUACUGUAGGCUGAUAUUGGGUUGAGAUAUAAUUUGUGUAGGAUAGCUGGGAGGCUUUGAUCGUGGCACGCCAGUGUCGCAGGAGCCGUUGUUGAAAUACCAGCCUGGUUAUAUUUUAAUUCUAACUUUGAUCCCCUGAAUCGGGGCAAAGGACAGUGUCAGUCGGGCAGUUUGACUGGGGCGGUCUCCUCCCAAAGAGUAACGGAGGAGUACAAAGGUACACUCAGCAUGGUCGGCAAUCAUGCGUAGAGCGUAAAGGUAGAAGUGUGCUUGACUGCGAGAGCCAUCACUCGAGCAGGAACGAAAGUUGGUCUUAGUGAUCCGGUAAUCCCGAAUGGAAGGGUUAUCGCUCAUCAGAUAAAAGGUACUCCGGGGAUAACAGGCUUAUCGCAUCCGAGCGUCCACAGCGGCGAUGCGGUUUGGCACCUCGAUGUCGGCUCAUCACAUCCUGGGGGUGUAGAAGCUCCCAAGGGUUUGGCUGUUCGCCAAUGAAAGUGGUACGUGAGCUGGGUUCAGACCGUCGUGAGACAGGUCGGUCCCUAUCUGC
rnacentral:rRNA from 1 species